rnacentral:lncRNA from 1 species
CGAGAUCAGGGGAAAUCAUCCGCGUCUUCAGUCCACGGAGUAAUCCGAUUGUUAAGUAAUUAGGGGGGAGAUGCGCCCUUUAGCUUAUAUAUAGGUUUGGGAGUAGCACCACCAUGUGUGGUUUAGCAAAUCAGAUCUCCAGGUACUUCUUAACAUAUAUGCGAAAACUCGAAAAUUCAUGGACAAACCUUGCUUUCUUACCCAUAGGAUUGGAUGGAAACGAGUCUG